GACGAACGCUGGCGGUGUGCUUCACACAUGCAAGUCGAACGAGGUAGCAAUACCUAGUGGCGGAACGGGUGAGUAAACGCGUGGGAAUCUGCCUUUAGAUGGGGGAUAACGGGUCGAAAGACUCGCUAAUACCGCAUAUGACGAAAGUUGAAAGGAGUAAUCCGUCUAAAGAUGAGCCCGCGUCCGAUUAGCUAGUUGGUAGAGUAAAAGCCUACCAAGGCGACGAUCGGUAGCUGGUCUGAGAGGAUGAUCAGCCACAAUGGGAACUAGAGACACGGCCCAUACUCUACGGAGGCAGCAGUGGG
rnacentral:rRNA from 1 species